UGUCCAGGGAUUGGAAUCGAACCCACAGUGUUCCGUUUACCGGGCAGAUACCAUGUCCACUAAGCUACACUGGAC
rnacentral:tRNA from 1 species